CACGGGUAUUGCCACGUCCUCUGUCGGGGCAGCCAGGCAGCGCCACUAGAGUAGAAAUCAAGAGAUGGUACAAAGCAGUCACCUGAGAAAGAGUCCAGUAAUUGCCACGUAAAUGCAGCUGGUUAAGCAAGAUUAAGUGAGCUUUUUCCAGAAUGUAGACAACCCAAGAGUAGAUUACCAUCACCAAAUUCUCUUUCAGGUAGCGGCAGUCCUUAUUUUGGGGGAGCGGGUGGGUAGUAGAAGAAAAGACCUAGCUUCUUUGAGCACGAGUCCAGGUGUCAGGGAGUGCUGCUGCCUGCGCAGUUAGGGCUGGGAAUUUCUCUGACUUCAAUUAACACCCUGUCUUAUUCAACACUAGGCAGUUGUAAGUCACCCUACCCUUGGGUAUAGAACUUGGCAUGCACACAAAGACUGGAGGGAAGGUGGAGCUCUGACUCGGAGGGAUUCGGGUGUCAAAUCGUUUAUAAUAAAGAAUUUUCUUGGCGUGAAAGGCAUGUAGGCACCAGGCAGGAAGGAAAACAGCCGCUAGCAGUUACGUGGAAUCCCCCAGAGCAGGACAUUUCCCAGUGUCAAUAAUGCUGAAAUUUCACUAACUUGACCUUGUGAGAGGUCAAGCCCAGCAACAGUCUAAUUAUAUCUGAGCCCCUACUCCCAAACAAGAAGACAUUCAAAUGCCUUCAAUGAGAACUCAUAAUAAACCAUGCAAUUUAUUAUGGUGGAUUAAGUUAGAUUAUUUAAUCCACCAUAUUUUACCAGUGCUUACUCAGCUCAUUAAAUAAUAGCUGAUGUUGUUAUUUUAAUAUUAUAAAAAGACUAUUUUAAAGCAAUUUUAAAACUUUAUGGUGCUCUGCACACAUGAGUGCAUUGUUAUUUAAUCACCAAAACAAAAUCUUAUUAUCUCUAUUGGGAGACAGGACAGUUAGAAGUUUGGGGUUUCCAGGGUAUAGAACUUUGCAUGUGUGAUUUCACCUAAAUAUGUAUAUUCUGGCCCUAAAACCAAGAAUGUAAAACAGAGUUCCAAGUAAAACUCAUCAUAGAUGCAUUUUUGCCUGUCUCUAGGCAUAUGAGCUUCACGGUCAGAAGAAAAUAAAACAAUCUUUGGAAUCUACAGUGAUCUACAAAGAGGCAAGCAAGUAGUUACUGGACUCACCCUACUGAUAGACCACCUGCCAGGACACUACCCUGUCUUAAGUAUUUUUCUAAUGAACAGCAAAGAUUCAAAGGUCCACAAAAGAGCAAAUUAAGACACUAAUCAAACCUCUUUUUUAAGUGUCAUUGCAAGCCACAUUUUCCUACUGGGAAAAAUGCUAAUAAAGUAAUGAGACAAAAUGCUUUUCAGGAGCAAACUAA